UGCGCAGGCGGCGCCGCAAGUCGAGUGUGAAAUCCCCGAGCUUAACUUGGGAAUUGCGCUCGAAACUACGGUGCUGGAGUGUGGCAGAGGGAGGUGGAAUUCCACGUGUAGCGGUGAAAUGCGUAGAGAUGUGGAGGAACACCGAUGGCGAAGGCAGCCUCCUGGGCCAACACUGACGCUCAUGCACGAAAGCGUGGGGAGCAAACAGGAUUAGAUACCCUGGUAGUCCACGCCCUAAACGAUGAUGACUAGUUGUUGGGGGAGUUAAAUCCCUUAGUAACGCAGCUAACGCGUGAAGUCAUCCGCCUGGGGAGUACGGUCGCAAGAUUAAA
rnacentral:rRNA from 1 species